ensembl:lncRNA
AUGGUCCUCAGCUGGCAUUGGCCACCCUCUCCUUUGGGGAUGGGAAUGGACUCAGGAGCAUGGAGAUACUUAGGUGGGGCUGAAUCCCUAAUUGUUCCCCCAACCCCAGCCCUGCCUUCUGAGGACCUCUGCCCUCUUCAGGACAGCUUCUCCAGGUAUGAGGAGGAAAUGGAGGCAUAUCCUCAGCAGAUCCUGUCUCAGCCACCUGUGAGCUUCAAGGACGUGGCUGUGACCUUCACAUGGGAGGAGUGGGGACAGCUGGACCUGGCCCAGAGGAUGCUGUACCGUGAGGUGACUCUGGAGACCUGCAGUCACCUGGUCUCCCUGGGUAAGGCAGGCACUGCCCAUAGCAGGACCCAGAGUGUGGCUCAUCUCAAGGGUGUGCCCAGGCUGGGCCAAAACGUGCUGGAAGUGGGUCCCUUUGAGAUUUGGGUCCUGGUAUUGCCGCUCACUCCACCUCCAGAGCAGAUCUGUGGCUUGUCGUUCAGGGAGUGGGAAAUCUCCUCGGGAGGAUGUGGGGGCCCUCCUAGUCCAUUCAUGUCUGACCCCAGGGGCGAGGGCUGGGCCUGUCACCAAGCAGAAGACCAAGCCCUCUGUUUUUCCUCCGUUGACCAGGGCUUCUGCUUUCAAAACCGGAUGUGAUCGCCCGACUGGAGCAAGGGGAGGACCCAUGGAGGGUGGAGCCGGGACCUCCCCGAGGUGAGAACAGGCCAGCAGCCCAAUGGUUAAGGUCCAAGGAGCAGGGAGGCCAUUUUCGGGGAGUUUGCUCGGGUGUCCUCUGCUGCCUCCUCAUGUCCAACAAGGCAGCUGUGUUCUCAUCCACAUCAGCCUGUCUCUGUGCCCAGCCCACCCACAGAGAACACUUGUUGCUGUCGUCAGGACAUGUCUCACACAUGGGUUCAUUUCUGUCCCCGUCUUCCUCUGGUCUUCACCCCUCUGCUGCCGCAUCCCAUUCCCAUGUCCUCAUGCCCCCUCUUUUUCUCCAUCCUCUCAUCCUGACUUCUACCCAGGGUGGAAGCUCCUCAGCACUCCCCUUCAGGCUGGUCUUUGCUCUGCCAUUUGGGUGAUCAGCCCUCCUCCAUGUUGGACGUUCCCAUGUCUUCAAGAUGAUUCCAAAGUGUGGUAAAAACUUGUGCGUCCAAGCCUUCCAGAAGGAUUCCUACUAAAUCUUCCUGGACCUACUUUCCCACCUCCCCUCAUCCCAUAGGCCCCCCUCCUACCCUGUGUGUCAGCCUAAUUGGAAUUAUCUUUUUUUUUUUCUUUUCUUCUUUUAGAGCUGUAUCAAAAUACAGUUUAC